UACGUAGGGCGCAAGCGUUGUCCGGAAUUAUUGGGCGUAAAGAGCUCGUAGGCGGCCUGUUACGUCUGCUGUGAAAUCCCGGGGCUUAACCCCGGGCGUGCAGUGGAUACGGGCAGGCUGGAGGCAGGCAGGGGAGAACGGAAUUCCCGGUGUAGCGGUGAAAUGCGCAGAUAUCGGGAGGAACACCGAUGGCGAAGGCAGAUCUCUGGGCCGUAACUGACGCUGAGGAGCGAAAGCGUGGGGAGCGAACAGG
rnacentral:rRNA from 1 species